rnacentral:tRNA from 1 species
UGGCGGGUAGUGUAAUUGGUAACACGUUUGGCUCUGAACCAAAAGACUCCAGGUUCGAUUCCUGGCCCGCCAG